GCGCCCAUAGCUCAACGGAUAGAGCAGUGCUCUUCUAAGGCAUUGAUGGGGGUUCGAUUCCCUCCGGGCGUA
rnacentral:tRNA from 1 species